UCUGUAGUUCUGUGGUCGGGGGGCCUUGUCCUCCUACUGUGGUUCUGCAUCUUUACACACACACUGUACAAAGUCUCAUGGAAUGCAUCUGCGUUUAACGCAUACAAUACAACUUUCAGCAACGGAUCUCUUGGCUCUCGCAUCGAUGAAGAACGCAGCGAAAUGCGAUAAGUAAUGUGAAUUGCAGAAUUCAGUGAAUCAUCGAAUCUUUGAACGCACCUUGCGCCCUUUGGCCAUUCCGAAGGGCAUGCCUGUUUGAGUAUCAUGAACACCUCAACUCUUCAUGGUUUUCCGUGAUGAGCUUGGACUUUGGGGGUUUUGCUGGCCUGUGGUCGGCUCCUCUAAAAUGAAUCAGCUUGCCAGUGUUUGGUGGGCAUCACAGGUGUGAUAACUAUCUACGCUUGUGGUUUUCCACCAGGGUAACCUUCAGCAGUGGAGGUUCGCUGGAGCUCAUAGAUGUCUCUCCUCAGUGAGGACGGCCCUUUGAAUGUUUGAUCUCAAAUCAGGUAGGACUACCCGCUGAACUUAAGCAUAUCAAUAAGCGGAGGAAAAGAAACUAACAAGGAUUCCCCUAGUAACUGCGAGUGAAGCGGGAAGAGCUCAAAUUUAAAAUCUGGCGUGCCUCUGGUCGUCCGAGUUGUAGUCUGGAGAAGUGUUUUCUGUGUUGGACCGUGUACAAGUCCCUUGGAACAGGGCGUCAUAGAGGGUGAGAAUCCCGUCUUUGACACGGACUACCAAUGCUUUGUGAUGCGCUCUCAAAGAGUCGAGUUGUUUGGGAAUGCAGCUCAAAAUGGGUGGUAAAUUCCAUCUAAAGCU
rnacentral:rRNA from 1 species